rnacentral:misc_RNA from 1 species
GGCUAAAAAAUCCUAAAGCAAAAUUCUUUCCCUUGGAGAUUAAAAGAUUACCAUCUUGAAUAGUUUGGUUUACAGUUAUGGUAUCUUUGGAAGAACAAACAGUAAAGUGGAGGAUUAGGAAAAAAGAUUGCAGAAACAACUUCUGAGAAUCCAUACCGUUUCUACUGCUCAUCAUUGAACUAACUGAAACUUAAAUGGGAAUUUGGUCAUACAUUCGAUUCACAAAAGUCCCUAUCCAAAUCAAAAUCAAGGGGAGAUGAAUGAAUAGCAGAGGCAAAGUAAUAAUAAAAUCAAUAAUUUAAAUUAACAAUAAACAAGCAAAGGUACAAUGUUAGCGUAAAAGUUUAGGGUUUUAUAUGCUUUGCAAGCAAAAAACAAAGGAACAGAAACCAUCAUUCAUUAUUAAUGCCGUGAGAGAAUUCAUUCGAGCAUUUCAUCGAAUGCAUGGAAUCCAUUCCGUGAGAUCCAAAACAACGAAAGUUCACAUACAUUAGUUCCCUUCCCCUGUGGCGUGCGGGAACGUGAAAGACAAGUUAUUUGAAAUUAUCAAAAAGGAUCAAUGAAGAAGACGCACAUAGCUAGUCUUCUACGGUUGCUGACGAAGAAGAAAGGAAGACUGGAAAAAUCCCAGUCAUUUCCCUU